GCCAGGCAAGGGAAAGAGCAACGGCCUCCGGAGCCGUGUGCGCAGGUUCGAAUCCUGCCGGGGCA
rnacentral:tRNA from 1 species